CUCUACAGCCAUGCCACCCUGAAUGAGCCCAACCUCGUCUGAUCACGUAAGCUAUGCAGGGUCAGGCCUGGUUAGUGCUUGGAUGGGAGACCACCCAGGAAUACCAGGUGCUGUAGGCG
ensembl:rRNA 5S_rRNA 5S ribosomal RNA